rnacentral:rRNA from 1 species
CAGUCGCCGCGGUAAUACGAAGGGUGCAAGCGUUAAUCGGAAUUACUGGGCGUAAAGCGUGCGUAGGCGAUUUGUUAAGUCUGCUGUGAAAUCCCCGGGCUCAACCUGGGAAUGGCAGUGGAUACUGGCAAGCUAGAGUGUGUCAGAGGAUGGUGGAAUUCCCGGUGUAGCGGUGAAAUGCGUAGAGAUCGGGAGGAACAUCAGUGGCGAAGGCGGCCAUCUGGGACAACACUGACGCUGAGGUACGAAAGCAUGGGGAGCAAACAGGAUUAGAUACCCGCGUAGUCCCUGUCUCUUAUAC